UACAGAGGUCCCGAGCGUUGUUCGGAUUCACUGGGCGUAAAGGGUGCGUAGGUGGUGAGGUAAGUCGGAUGUGAAAAUCUCCGGGCUCAACCCGGAAAUGGCAUUGGAAACUACCUUGCUAGAGGAUUUGAGGGGGGAUUGGAAUACUUGGUGUAGCAGUGAAAUGCGUAGAUAUCAAGUGGAACACCAGUGGCGAAAGCGGCUUCCUGGACCAAGUACCGACGUUCGAGGCACGAAAGCGUGGGGAGCAAAACAGG
rnacentral:rRNA from 1 species